rnacentral:lncRNA from 1 species
UUUAUAGGUUUCCUUACAACUGGUUUACAGUUAGGAGCAAUUAUGGAUAGCUCAUUUUUCUUUAUUUUGAAAUAAAGAAAGAAGAUCUGUCUUCAAUGACAUACAACUCUUUUUUUUUUUUUUUUUUGAGACUUGGCUUUUCUGUGUACCUCUGACUAUCCUGGAACUUGCUCCAUAGACCGGGCUAGCUUCAAACUCCCAGAGAUUUACCUCCUCUGGCUCCCAGCUACUGGGAUUAAGGUCAUGCGCCCUGAUGGCACAUGACUUUCCUAAAGAAAAGACUUCAAAUGGAGGUAGUGUCAUAAUGUGGGAUUAUAAAAUUAUGAUUAUAAGGAUAUGUGUAUGUAUGCUGCUGUGGAAAACAUAAAGAUUAUAAGAAUUUCUUCAGUGCUAAUCCUGAUUGUUAGUCUAUUAAUGCUAGAAAUAUCUGAUACUCGUUUAUUUGUUCAUUUAUUAAGCAUUUAAUGAGCAUGUCCUGUGUGCUAGGUACUGUACUAGACCCUGGGGAACCAAAGAUGCAUGAAAGUCAUUCUCUACCCCUGGGACCCGUGCUGUUUGGAGGAGUAGUAAACAAGUGUGCCUCCCUCUGAGAGAGCGUGUUUUCAAGUCUUAGCUGAGAACGUAGGUGAAAGCCUUUCCUGUCUCUGCGGCACAGCUGUUCUCAGCCUUUGUGAUGCUGCGACCCCUUAUAGUUCCUCCUGUUGGGGUAAACCCCGACCACAAAAUUAUUUCAUUGCUACUUCAAAAUAUAAUUUUGCUGCUGUUGUGAAUCGUAAUGUAAAUAUUUGAUAUGCAGAUGGUCUUAGGUGACUCCUGUCACAGGCUUGUUUGACCACCAAGGGAGUCAUGACCCACCCACAGGUUGAGAACCACUGCUGCAGCAUACUGUCUGAAGUACUUAAUGCUGUGACUCCGUAACCGUUCCUCAUGGUGGUAACCAGGGCAUAGCAUAGAGAAUUAGUUCUGCCUGUAUGCAUAGGUGCAUCUGGAGACGCUGCAUAAGGAAACAGCUUUUGAGCUAGACUUUGGGCUAUGUGAGUGAUUUAUGUUAAGAAUUAUGAGGGAUUGGAGAGAGAGAGAGAGAGAGAGAGAGAGAGAGAGAGAGAGAGAGAGAGAGCGCGAGCAAGCGAGCUGCUCUUCAGAGCACUGCUUUCAGUCCCCAGCUCAAGGUCUGAUGCCCUCUGGUGGCCUCCACGGGUACCUGUGUAUGCUCAGCACACACAUAAACAUGUAUUUUAAAGGUUUUACAGCAAAAGGAGAGCCUGCAAGACAGAGCAGCUAAGAAACAUCAAAGUGCCUUGGUCUAGAGCAGACAUCCCUGUGGGCUUGUGCAUCUGCAGGCCGCUUCUGCUUACAUCCUCUCUUGUGAGCUCUAACAUGAGAAGUCCCUGAGAUGGGCUCAGACAGCCUCAUGCUUAAACCUUGACCAUACUCUAGGCUAGGUGGAGUGUGUGUGUGUGUGUGUGUGUGUGUGUGUGUGUGUGUGUAGUUAUAUCUCUGGUUAGCUCUUACUCGAUAUGUAAGAGGAUCAAAGCCAAUUAGAAGGUGCUUCCUUAUUGUUUUAUAGAAUUUUGGGAUUCAUCUGGUCUUAAAGGUUUUCAGGCCUGUUUGUUUGUCGGUUUUGUUUGUUGGAGAAAAGGUCUCAAGUAUGCCAAGUUGGCCUUGAAUGCCUUAGGUAGCUUAGGAUAACCCUAAACUUCUGAUCUUCCUGCCUUUACUUUCCAAGUAUUGGGGUUACAGGCAUGGGCCACUACUCAGUUUAUACACCCUGCCAACUGAGCUACAUCCCAGCCCUCAGUCCUUUUAAACAUUCAUAUAACAGAAAAUAAGUGAAAACGCUGAAGCGUUCCACUUCUGUUAUAGUUAAACACACCUAUUGACUCCAAAUUUUACCUACCAAAAUGUUUGAUCAAAAUACUUAUAAAUAAGCCAGGCAUGGUGAUGCAUACCUGUGUAGUGAGUUCCAAGACAUCUGUCUGGCUUUUAAUCACUGUCUUUGUUGCUUUUUAAAUUCUUUUUUUAAGAUUUAUUUAUUAUUAUUAUUUAUUAUAUGUAAGUACUGUAGCUGUACUUACAUAUAAUAAUAAAUAAAUUAUGUGUGCUUACUGUAGCUUCAAACACACCAGAAGAGGGCAUCAGAUUCAUUAUGAAUGGAUGUGAGCCACCAUGUGGUUGCUGGGAUUUGAAGUCAGGACCUUCGGAAGAGCAGUCAGUGCUCUUAACCACAGAGCCAUCUCUCUAGCCCGCUUUUUAAAUUCUUAAUUGUAGUUAUGCAAGGUAUUUUUGGCCUUCUUAUAGAACCCAUCUUUACUGAACUUUUUAUCACUGUUAAAUCGAAUCCUCAGUGUUCUGUUUGAUAAACUAACAGAGUAAUUAACUCUUUUGGAAGGAAGUGGCUGGGGCAAUGCAAAUAUUUAUUUCUGCACACUCUAAGUAAAAUGGCAGUGUCUGGGAACUUCUUCUGCGCUCUCGGAUGUUUAGUUGCCCUUACCAAGCUCGGCUCUGGGUACAGUUCUCCUGGAGCAGCUGUUUCUUACAUGGUAUGCAGUAUUGGACAUACGCACUCUGCAGAUCAGAGGUGCGUAUUCACCCUCUGUGUCCACAUUCUUACAUUCUAAAGUUUCAGGAGCUGAGAUCUAGCUUAGUUGAAAUAAAUACUAUUUCCCCAAAACAGAAGGGACCCUAAUGUUUGAAUGGUACUAAUUAGAAGCAUCAGAACCGCAUCGAUCACCUGUCUCAACAAGUUGGUUAUAACUCUUACCUUUUGAAUGGAUAGUGGUACUAUUUUGAGUUAUCUAGAUUUAACUUUCACUCCUUAAUGCUGUCAUUAAAACUAGCCAGACUUAAAUAAUAAGGAAUGUCACAUACAUGCACACACACACACACAGUCCAGAAGAUUUAAGCUGAGAAAUAAAAGCAAAAUGUAAAUUACCUCAUGUAUGGCUGAAUUAAGGAUUUUUCUCUAGAUGUUCUAAAAUUAAAAAUCUUAAUUAUUCUAUAUACAGAAAUGGCUAUAGAAUUUAUACACAUAGAAAAAUAAGAAAUGCUUAAAUAUAUGUUUAGUAAUUCAAAUUUUUAACUUUCUUUUUCAGCUCUGAUCGUCUGAUAGAAGAAACAAUAAGGUAGGAGUAGUUUUUGUGGUUCUUCACUGCUGUCUUUGCACAAUCAAUGGUCAGAUCAAGCCAGCCCUGUUCACUAGAGUGAAGGUCAAGUCAUGUUCCUUAAGUGAUGACAGUUUUACUAAACAGUAAUGCAUUUCUGCUGUGGCCUUACUUUCUAAGCGCAUCUAAUCAUCUUAGUAACAGGUUCAUGAGAUAGACAUUGACCAGUAGACUCCUUCUCC